rnacentral:miRNA from 1 species
UUCGACAACACCCAAACAA